AUGAUACGUAACUGCAGGACAAAUUCAAACUUUAUCCACCCUUUUAUAAUUGAUUCAAGGAAUGAAAUAUCUAAGCGCUACAAACUUUUGCCACCUAGCAUAUCUGCUUCAUGUCCCAUCCCCUGCCCUCCUUGCUUCAACUCAUUCUCACACUUCCCCACCCAUCACUCAUCUCUACCACAACUCCUCUAUCUGGCUUGGUUGUGUUGGAUCACACGGAAGGGGGGAUAUGUGAAGAAAACUGAGUCAGAUUGA